UACGUAGGGUGCAAGCGUUGUCCGGAAUUAUUGGGCGUAAGAGCUCGUAGGCUGUCUGUCGCGUCGGCUGUGAAAACCCGGGGCUCAACCCCGGGCCUGCAGUCGAUACGGGCAGACUAGAGUGUGGUAGGGGAGACUGGAAUUCCUGGUGUAGCGGUGAAAUGCGCAGAUAUCAUUUGGAACGCCAAUGGUGAAAACAGGUAGCUGGGAGUGUGCUGACGCUGAGACACGAAAGCCAGGGGAGCGAACGGG
rnacentral:rRNA from 1 species